CCUUCCGGAGCGACUGGCUUUAUACUAGCACGGUACGUUGUUCGUACUGUCUAUAUCACUAACACGCAUGCAUGAAGUUGAGAAUAUUUUACCGUAUCUAUUUUCUUUUUCUUGAUUUACUGAACUGAAGGGCAUAGCACAAGUCAUUUUCCAGCGGAGCACUGGUAUAUCCAUAUUGUAAAUAAACUUUCUUUCAGCCAUAAGGAAAAGGGCUAUGGGUACAAUUUUUUUUUCAGAAAACUCCAAACACUAAUACGUCAUACUGUGAGUAAAUAUAGAUUUUCUGUAUUAGUUAUACCAAACUGCUGAGAGCUUUGUUUGUAUGACAUUUGUAAGAAAAAUACGUCAUAAGUCUGGGGGAAAAAAUAACG
rnacentral:lncRNA from 1 species